rnacentral:rRNA from 1 species
GUGCCAGCAGCCGCGGUAAUACGUAGGUGGCAAGCGUUGUUCGGAAUUAUUGGGCGUAAAGCGCGCGCAGGUGGUUUCUUAAGUCUGAUGUGAAAGCCCACGGCUUAACCGUGGAGGGUCAUUGGAAACUGGGAGACUUGAGUGCAGAAGAGGAAAGUGGAAUUCCAAGUGUAGCGGUGAAAUGCGUAGAGAUCUGGAGGAACACCAGUGGCGAAGGCGAUGUUCUGGUCUGAAAGUGAAGCUGAUGCGCGAAAGCAUGGGGAGCAAACAGGAUUAGAUACCCGGGUAGUCCGUGCCGUAAACGAUGGGUGCUAAGUGUUAGGGGGUUUCCGCCCCUUAGUGCUGCAGCUAACGCAUUAAGCACUCCGCCUGGGGAGUACGACCGCAAGGGUGAAACUUAAAGGAAUUGGCGG